AUGGCGGCGCGCUGCUGCGGCUGCAGCGUGCGGUGCUACUGCUGACGCUGGUCGCGCUCGCGGUCACGGCCACCGUCGUGUUCAUCCGCUACAGGAACGGCGGCCAGGUCUUCCCCCUCCCCGGCGUGCCGGACCCCAAGUACGCCGACGCCCUCGCCGUCGCCCUCCAGUUCUUCCAGGUCCAGAAAUCCGGGAGGCUGGUGAAGAAUGAGGUCCCGUGGCGAGGGGACUCGGCGCUGGACGACGGCAAGGAGGCCAAGCUGGACCUCUCCAAGGGGAUGUACGACGCCGGCGACCACAUGAAGUUCGGCUUCACGCUGGCCUUCACGGGCACCAUGCUGUCGUGGUCCGUCCUCGAGUACGGCGCCGCCAUGGGCACCGCCAAGCAGCGCGACGCGGCCAUGGACGCGCUGGGGUGGAUCAUGGAUUUCCUCAUCAACGCCCACCCCUCCGACGAUGUCCUAUACAUCCAGGUGGGUGACCCCAAAGCAGACCACAAGUGCUGGGAACGUCCGGAGACAAUGUCCGAGAAGAGACCCCUCACCAAGAUCACCACCAAGUCCCCCGGCAGCGACGUGGCGGCAGAGACCGCAGCCGCCAUGGCUGCGGCGUCGCUGGUGUACAAGCCCAUCAACGGGACGUACUCGUCGUCCCUCCUCGACCACGCCGAGCGGCUGUUCGCCUUCGCCGACAAGCACCGGGGCUCCUACACGCGGACCUUCCCGGAGCUAAGCGCCUACUACAACUCCACGACGUACCAGGACGAGCUCCUGUGGGCGGCGAGCUGGCGGACAAAUACUUAGUAUGCUUAUAUAAAUAAUAAUAUAAAUCUUACUAUUACUAAUGAUAGGAAUAGUAAUUUAGAAUUUUAUAUUGAUACUGUCCACCUAGGUGGCUUCGUCUGGAGGCUUCAAAAAAACCCUCCAAUUAGUAAUAGUAAGAUCAUGGGAAAAGCAAAAUGCUACGGUCUGUGACAAAGUAAAGUUGCUAAAGGGCCAGUCGGACUGGUCUCUGAUGCAAUGUGCCAUUGUGCAGGGGGGUUGCUGUAUGUAGCCGAGUGGAACUCCCUCCAGCACCCUGUUGCCUCCGCGUUCCUCGCCGCCGUUUACAGCGACUACAUGUCGGCGUCGGGAAAGACGGAGCUGACCUGCAGCGGGAAGAGCUUCAGGGCCGCGGACCUGCGCAAAUUCGCCAAGUCUCAGGCCGACUACGUCCUCGGCGACAACCCGAUGAAGCUGAGCUACCUCGUCGGCUACGGCGACAGCUACCCUCAGCGGGUGCACCACCGUGGCGCGUCCAUCCCCGCCGACGUCGACACUGGCUGCGACGGCCAGGAGUGGCUCAAGUCGCCCAAGCCCAACCCGAACGUCGCCACGGGCGCGCUGGUGGGUGGGCCAUUCAAGAACGACUCGUUCAUCGACGACAGGGAGAAUGUGAGGCAGAAUGAGGCGACGACGUACAACAGCGCGCUCAUCGUCGGCUUACUCGCCGGCCUCGUCUCCACCUCCUCAGUGGCGCAAUCCUUGUCAUGAUCCGGUCUAUUGUCCAACAGUUUCUUUCUGACUGACCCAUGUAGAUGACCCCCCUGUGAUGCGACUAUAUCCCAUUCUUCUGACUAUAUGAUCAGUUGCUAGAUGCCAUGGAAGUGCUGAUGUCAAACUGAUCAAUGGGUUUUAGGGUGUUGUGUUAGAAAUUAGCAUGGAAUCAUUCAGAGGUUUGUAUAAGAGAACAGAAAUUACUGGUAAUUACUUUGUCCAUUUGUUGUCCAUAAUUGUCUCUUAAUCUCAAAAUCAUUUCUGAUUUUUUCUCUCUCUGUUUUACUGAGAAGAAUAGCAGCAGGAUGACCUUCUGAUCACACGAAGUAUUGUACCCGAAGCAUAUCGAAAUUAAUUACUUGUCUAUACAAACCCAAACAGGUUUGCACAUAUAAAUCAGGAAUUCAGGAUGCAGUAGCCAGUAAGAGGUGCUACUGCUAUCAUGCUAUGCCUUGAAGCUAUAAGAUCUUUGCAUCCUCAGUUCAAAAUUGCCAGCAAAAGAUUGAACUUUUAGUCCAAAACUGCACAAGCGUAAUCCAUUCCUCCAAUUGUGGUAACAAGGCACACAUUGCCGAAUUAAAUCAGCCAUGCUUUCUUAAAUUUGCGUCCUCUUCUUCCCCAAUCUUUCUCAUAUAUCUUAUCCACUUUGCUAAGGCGCUAAGCUACCUACAGUACUCCACUCUGCAAGAACACGCAGCCGACGCUCUCACCCAGCCGUGUCACGGCGAGCCGCCGAACACAGCGGUCGGCGGCAGCGGCGGGGCGUCGAGCUGGUAGAGCCCGAGCGACGGGCCGACGAAGCGGAACAGGAUCCAGGCGCCGACCAUGAUGAAGAUGGAGGCGUAGGCGAACUUGUUGAGCCAGAAGAGCAGCCCCUUCUCCCCGACGUACAGCUCCACGGCCUUCUCGGCCAGGCUCAUCUCCUCCCACCCCUUCCGCUCCCGCUGCUUCUCCCUCCUCGGCGCCGCAGCCGACGCCGACGCCGACGCCGACGCCUUCUUCUUUGGCGUCACCUCCUCAGGCGGGGCAUCAAGCUGGAACCGGCGGGCCUGGUUCCUCACCUUGAGGCGGUUCUUGAUGCCGGUGGGCUUGCCGCUGGAGGGGGCAGCGGCCGGUGGAGAGGGCUGGGUGACAGUGUCCGUGGCAGGCUCCGAUGCGGCUGUUGCAGGUUCGCCAGAGCUGCCGUCGGACGCGGCGGGGGAGAUGCGGACGAGGCGGCGGCGAGGGUGGAGGAGAAGGGGCUUGGAUGGGCGGUGGAGGAGGAGCGGGAGAGGGGAGGGGAGGAGGAGGUGCUUCAUGGCGGAGAUGGUCGUCGUCGUCGUCAGGUCGAGUUUGGCGCCGUUUUGUUGAUGGGGUUUGGGUGGCUGCAACGGCUCUUCUGGAUGGAGCAUCAGAGUAUCAGACGUUACGCUGAUGAUGGAAAAUAGGAAAACAAAUGUUUUUUUCCCGGUUUUCAUGGUAAAAUAUCUCUACGCUUGAGGCUAGAUCAACACCAUUUGAAGAUUGCAAAUUACCUUUAAUUAAUUUAGAAUAAAUCUUUGGUCUCGUGAACGACA